UUCCGGUUGAUCCUGCCGGACCUGACUGCUAUCGGAUUGAUACUAAGCCAUGCGAGUCUUUGUAGUAAUACAAGGCAUACGGCUCAGUGACACGUAGUCAACCUACCCUAUGGACGAGAAUAAUCUCGGGAAACUGAGCAUAAUUCUUGAUAGAUCAUAAUGCCUGGAAUGGUUUAUGGUUAAAAUGAUUCGUCGCCAUAGGAUGGGACUGCGGCCUAUCAGCUUGUUGGUGAGGUAAUGGCCCACCAAGGCGAUUACAGGUACGGGCUCUGAGAGGAGAAGCCCGGAGAUGGGUACUGAGACACGGACCCAGGCCCUAUGGGGCGCAGCAGGCGAGAAAACUUUGCAAUGUGCGAAAGCACGACAAGGUUAAUCCGAGUGAUUUCUGCUAAAGAAAUCUUUUGCCAGUCGUAAAACCACUGGUGAAUAAGGGGUGGGCAAGUUCUGGUGUCAGCCGCCGCGGUAAAACCAGCACCUCAAGUGGUCAGGAUGAUUAUUGGGCCUAAAGCAUCCGUAGCCUGCUUUGUAAGUUUUCGGUUAAAUCCAUGUGCUCAACGCAUGGGCUGCCGAAAAUACUGCAUAGCUAGGGAGUGGGAGAGGUAGACGGUACUCAGUAGGUAGGGGUAAAAUCCUUUGAUCUAUUGAUGACCACCUGUGGCGAAGGCGGUCUACCAGAACACGUUCGACGGUGAGGGAUGAAAGCUGGGGGAGCAAACCGGAUUAGAUACCCGGGUAGUCCCAGCUGUAAACGAUGCAGACUCGAUGAUGCAUUGGCAUAAUAGCCAUUGCAGUGUCGCAGGGAAGCCGUUAAGUCUGCCGCCUGGGAAGUACGUACGCAAGUAUGAAACUUAAAGGAAUUGGCGGGGGAGCACCACAAGGGGUGAAGCCUGCGGUUCAAUUGGAAUCAACGCCGGA
rnacentral:rRNA from 1 species